rnacentral:lncRNA from 10 species
GUAGUGAUUUCUUGUGUCUCUUAAUGAAGGCCUAGACAAUAUAGUCUGGAUUGAUUGGAUAAACACAGAGGAACAAGAGAGCGGCAGAAUUGUACCAUGCAUGCAGCAGGCCAUGCUCUACACGGGCCUCUCAGGAUGCAGCAGAGAGAAAGCAGUUGGUGUAGAUAACUGAAACUGCAGAAGAGAAAACUGUGAAUAAAAGGGAACAACUGUACCCUUACAACCACCACUGUAAUCAAGAGGUAUAA